AUCGAGGUGACGAGUCCCAAAUAGGACGAAACGCGCGUCCUGGAU
rnacentral:hammerhead_ribozyme from 1 species